AUUGAACGCUGUCGGCAGGCUUAACACAUGCAAGUCGAACGAGUGGCGGACGGGUUAUUAAUGCUUGGGAAUCUAGCUUAUGGAGAGGGAUAACUACGGGAAACUGUAGCUGAUACCGCGUCCCCUAGGCUGAGCCCAAGUGUGAUUAGGUAGUUGGUGAGGUAAAGGCUCACCAGGCCGACGAUCUCUAGCUGGUCUGAGAGGAUGACCAGCCACACUGGGACUGAGCCACGGCCCAGACUCCUACGGGAGGCAGCAGUGGGGAAUAUUGGGCAAUGGGGGCAACCUGACGCAGCCAUGCCGCGUGAAGGAAGAAGGCCUUCGGGUUGUAAAGGUCUUUCGGUAGCGAGGCGUUAACUACAGAAGAAGCACCGGCUAACUCCGUGCCAGCAGCCGCGGUAAUUC
rnacentral:rRNA from 1 species